GAAACUGUAGGAACAGGUCUUCCGCUUCAGCUCAGGAACUGUUGCCAUCUCUAUCAGUAGACAAACUCUGGAAUGUACCUGAGAAAUGAUAUGCAUGCAGAGAUUAGUUUUUUUUCUUUUUCUUUUUCUUUUCUUCUUCUUUUUUUUUCAAUCAAUUUUUUUUAUUGCGUUUCUUUUGAAAAAUAAAUAUGCUAUGAUGCACAUGAUGCGGACUAGACUGGCUGGUCGUGCAAUUCUGAUCACUAGGUCGAAGCUUCAGUCAAAACUCGGAACUUAAAUCCAACUUAAGGUCAAACUGAUCACACUGUAUGAACACAAAGUCACCAUCAGAACCAAAGUCACCA
rnacentral:lncRNA from 1 species